AAGAUAAGUUUACCUCUUAUUUAAAAGGAAAAACUUCAAAAAAAAACCAAUGUGGUUUCGUUUUUUUCACUUUAGUAUCCUAUGGUUUAAAGUGUAUCAAGUUAGUACCAUGUGGUUUUCCACUUUCUCAUUUUUGUACCCUGUGGUUUAAAAUGUAUCAAGUUAGUUCUCUGUGGUUUCAUUUUUAUAUCAAGUUAGUACCCUAUAGUUUUAUUUUUCUCUUUUUAUUAUCCAUUUCGAAAUAUUUUUUUCGUUAAAUCAGUGACAAAGUUAAAACUAAAUUGUAUUAAAUGAAUAUUUGAUAAAUCUAGGUAGGGUAUCUAAAGUUUUUUGUAUAUAAUUUAACGAAAUAUUAAAUCAGGGAGUACUAAAGUGAGAAAGUGCGAAACCACUGGGUACUAACUUGAUACACUUUAAACCACAAGAUACUAAAGUGAAAAAGUGCGAAACCACAAAAUACUAACUUGAUACACUUUAAACCACAGGAUACUAAAGUGAGAAAGUGUGAAACCACAAGAUACAAACUUGAUACACUUUAAACCACAGAGUACUAAAGUGAGAAAGUGCGAAACUACAAGGGGGUAUUUGAAGUUUUCCCUAUUUAAAAAUAUCCUCACCAAUUGUUACCGUUGAAAUUAUCGGCCGUCCCUAGAGUAAGUGGCAAAGAGCUCGAUGAUUGGUACUUGAAAUUCCAAGUUCAAAUCCUAGUUGAUUCACAUUUCUAGCUAAAUUUGUUUCUAAAUGAAAUAAACGAAGCAGGUAGCGUGCUACCUAUCUCUUCAAAAAAAA
rnacentral:lncRNA from 1 species